UCUCCGUUGGUGAACCAGCGGAGGGAUCAUUAUCGAGUUUAUAACUCCCAAACCCUAUGUGAACUUACCACUUGUUGCUUCGGCGCGCGCUUCGGUGCCGCCGAGGACACUUAAACUCUUUGUUUUUAUAAGCAUUUCUGAGUGGCCGAAAGGCAAAAUACAAAUGAAUCAAAACUUUCAACAACGGGUCUCUUGGUUCUG
rnacentral:misc_RNA from 1 species